GCCAGCAGCCAUAUCACCCUGCAGGCCUCAACUGGCUCUCUACUGAAGCUAAGCAGGUUUAAGCCUGGCCGGUAUCUGGAUCGGAGACCUCCUGGGAAGCUAUGGUUGCUGCUAGAA
rnacentral:rRNA from 1 species